rnacentral:misc_RNA from 1 species
GCCACCCCCUGACUUGAGAGUAUUACUCAACCAGUCCAUGCCCUCAGAGAGGCCUUCACCCUUAACAGCACAUGUCUUGAAGAUGGCCCAUUGGCGAUUUUUUAUCUUGUGCAACUCCAAGGCCUCAGUCACAGCAGCAUCAUCAAGAGCACCAGGGAGGUCCUGCUUGUUUGCAAAAAUGAGGACAACAGCACCUUUCAGUUCUUCCUCCUCCAAAAUCGCAUGAAAUUCUUCUUUGGCUAUUCCAAUUCUAUCAGUAUCACUUGAAUCAACAACAUAAAUCACAGCUUGGGUAUUUGGGAAAUAACAUCGCCAGUAUGGCCUGAUGCUUGUCUGCCCACCCAAAUCCCAGACCUGGAACUUAAUAUUGUUAUACUGUACAGUUUCCACAUUGAAUCCAAUUGUUGGGAUCGUGGAGACUACUUCGCCCAUUUGAAGCCGAUAGAGGAUGGUGG